UUAUCGACAUUGGUUACGUCAUCUCUUUGAAUGAUGUAUGCGUGAAAAUAUUAUGUCGAUGAAAUGUCCCCUUCAUUUGUAAAUAGCUCCACAAAAGGGAAAUUUCCGUAACUUAACAACACUGCUUGGAAAUAUAAAAAAAGUGUCAAAAAAUGCAGAAACUAUAAAAUGAAGUGAAGUGAAUUACAAAAUAUGCAGCUAUUGUAUAUUACGUGCGUUCAUAAAAGCGAGCUACGCAGUUGCUACGAAGCUCUGCAAUUGGCUAUUUGUGCACAAGUUGGAGCGUUUUGCAGUGGCUUGGAUAAUAAGUGCAACCCCGCUACCUGAUCGUCCUCGCCAGCGCCGUUUAGGUCGGCGAAGUAUCUCAGAAGUUGUCCGUCCAUAGGGCAACAUUCACUA